rnacentral:lncRNA from 1 species
CCCGAGUUCUUUUCUACACUCUUCGUCUUCUUCAAUUGAAUCCAAUGAUCAGCGUGUGGUGGCUCCUUUAGCACCACCGCAGGUCUAGUUUGCUUUCUUUAAUUUUCUAUUGUUUAUCUUGUGUUUUGGUCAAAUUUUAGAUGCGGAUUGAACGAGAAGAUACAAAUCUAAGAAUUCAUCUCUGGUCAUGCUUGUCAAGGUGAUCAUGGGCUGCAUGGUUGGUGUCCAUCAUCGGUGAAUCGCAAUUGUGUCUACUGAAUUCACGCUCCUGAUAUUCCUCCGUUCGAUUUGAGAGGUAGAAGUGAAGGAUUCAUGUUUCGUCGUGGCCUUGCGGUGGUCUGGAGCCGGUGAAGUGUGUCGAUCUCUUCUGCCCAUGAGUUUCUCAUGUUUGCGGUCCCUUCCUCUUAUUUUGUUUUUCAUGGUUUUAGUUUGUCGUAUGGUGUAGUUGAUGGUUUGAACCCUUUCUAUUUUUGAUUAGAGGAGAGAUAAUUAUCUCUAGUCUCUAUUCAGUAAAGGUACGACAGUGGCGUGAUGGCGCGUUUUUGAGCAGAACAAGAUUAGCACUUGGUUGAGAAGAAAUUGUAUUUUGCCACCUCGCCAUUUUCAGUCGCGAAAGAGUCUUCGCCGCAUUUUUUGAUAAGAGUUAUUCCUAUUCCUGGUGUGUUCGCUGAUCUCAUAAGUCCUCAGUGGUUUCCUUUUGAUACUUAGAAGCAAUAUAAUGAGAUUGAGGUUUUGGUUCAAUCGGAUGAAAAUGCGGUUGUGUUGGAGGGUUUAGACCAAGUGUUUCGGUUCUUUGUGGUUCAUGUUAGUGUGGUCGGUGUUGUGGAGGUUGUGUUAUUCUGCGUGUUCUGGCUCUUCGUCUUGGACAGAAGGGUUCAGGUGAGUUUUUGGAUUAUACGCCUCUCUGCUUGCUCUCUUGGCUGGUGGUGUAGCAUUGUGAACCAUCCGGUUGAUUUAGACUUGGGACUAUGUUAUCUUUGAUCGGAUGUUGCAUUAUUUGGGUUGUAACUUUUUUCUGAUGGGUUUUAUUUCCGGGGAUUUUAACGUGUUUU